AUACGGAGGGGACUAGCGUUGUGCGGAAUUACUGGGCGUAAAGAGUUCGUAGGCGGACUGAUAAGUAAGAGGUGAAAUCCCAGGGCUCAACCCUGGAACUGCCUUUUAAACUGUCAGUCUAGAGACCGGAAGAGGUUAGGGGAAUACCUAGUGUAGAGGUGAAAUUCGUAGAUAUUAGGUGGAACACCAGUGGCGAAGGCGCCUAACUGGUCCGGUACUGACGCUGAGGAACGAAAGCGUGGGGAGCAAACAGGAGUAGAUACCCUAGUAGUCC
rnacentral:rRNA from 1 species